GAUGAAAGGUUUUCGGAUCGUAAAACUCUGUUGUUAGGGAAAAACAAGUACCGUUCAAAUAGGGCGGUACCUUGACGGUACCUAACCAAAAAGCCACGGCUAACUACGUGCCACCACCCGCGGUAAUACUUAGGUGGCAAGCGUUGUCCGGAAUUAUUGGGCGUAAAGCGCGCGCAGGCGGUUUCUUAAUUCUGAUGUGAAAGCCCCCGGCUCAACCGGGGAGGGUCAUUGGAAACUGGGGAACUUGAGUGCAGAAAAGGAAAGUGGAAUUCCACGUGUAGCGGUGAAAUGCUUAGAGAUGUGAAGGAACACCAGUGCCAAAGGCAACUCUCUGGUCUGUAACUGACGCUAAGGCGCG
rnacentral:rRNA from 1 species